GGAACGUAAAUAAAAAUAAUGAAUUUAUCAUGUCAAAUCUGCAAUUUGAAUUUAAACUGAAAAAAAUUUUUUUUUAAAGUAUAUAUGAGGUUUAUAAUUCAAAACUGUUAAAAGAAAUAUUAAGGGUUUCCAUUUUCACUUAAACUACUACAUAACAAAAUAAUUUCUAGUAAAAUCUAUUUGGUGCCAUGAGUAAUUAUUCUAUUUCAAGGAUAUCAUGAUUUUUCAAGACCACAAAUAUUAAUUAACAAACUGAUAUGAUUGCAAAGUCUGUUCUUAUAAAAUCAUUAACUUAAGAACCGAUGAUUCUACCCCAUCCUCUGACAAUUUAAUCUAAAAAAAAUAAUUUAUUGUAUUUUACAUUUAAAUAAAAUUUAUUGAAAAUAAAAAACCAAAAGUUUGCUUACAAGCUAUUUAUUCACUUAGUCAAUUCAAAUAUGUAAUAAUACAUGUACCUUCAUUUGCUACUUUUAUAGAUGAGUGGUCAAAUUUCAGACAUUUUAUACUAGACAUUUCGGUUUCUUAGAUAUUUCCAAAUAAUGGAAAGACGUACUUUCUUUUUUGUCAUAAAAGACAAAUACAAGGGGAGUUUAGAAAUUAAAAA
rnacentral:lncRNA from 1 species